rnacentral:rRNA from 1 species
UACGUAGGGUGCAAGCGUUAAUCGGAAUUAUUGGGCGUAAAGAGCUCGUAGGCGGUUUGUCGCGUCUGCCGUGAAAGUCCGGGGCUUAACUCCGGAUCUGCGGUGGGUACGGGCAGACUUGAGUGAUGUAGGGGAGACUGGAAUUCCUGGUGUAGCGGUGAAAUGCGCAGAUAUCAGGAGGAACACCGAUGGCGAAGGCAGGUCUCUGGGCAUUAACUGACGCUGAGGAGCGAAAGCAUGGGGAGCGAACAGG